CAGACGGAGCUGGAGCUGCUGGACCCCCCCAAUCCCCUCCCCCUCAUUUUGGGGGCGUCCCUGGGGGGGCUCCUCCUGCUGGGCCUGGUGGCCCUGGGGCUCUACAAGCUGGGAUUCUUCAAGCGCCGCUACAAGGAAAUGCUGGAGGGCGCCGAGACCCCCGGGGACCCCCCCGGGGACCCCCAGGGCUGAGAGAAUUUGGGGAAAAUUCCUCAGAAAACCUCAUUUAAAUACUCAUUAAAAUGCCUCGAAACUUCAUUCCAAUAUGCCAUUCAAGUUCAUGAAACCUUCA